GACGUGCCUUAGCAGCCGCGCAGCCUCGCUUUUUGGGGAGGGGCCGCCCUCCGUCGCCUUGGGCUUUCCCUGCCCUGAGGGGCCGGAAAAGAACUUCAGUUUUCUGUUGAUGUGGAGACAUAGGGUAUCUCCAACUUCCCAGUAUUUCAGAAGUGAGUUUUGUAUUGAAACUGGAAGACCAAAAUAAUUACAAGCAGUUGUGCUGGGGGAAAUGCAUCCUUUUGGACAACUAGGUUUGGGUGGAAUUGAUGAAGAAAUUGUAUUAGAGCCCAGGAAAAGUGACUUUUUUGUAAAUAAAAGGUCCGAGAUGUAGGAUGUGGACUCAGACAUACUGUAUUUGUUCUGGAUGAUGGAACUGUGUACACGUGUGGAUGUAAUGAUCUAGGACAGCUAGGUCAUGAAAAAUCCAGAAAGAAACCAGGACCCUACAUCUGAGGAAUUUCAAGAGCAUUACACAAUAAUUCAUGGUUCCUUUCAAAAUGCUUGUGACACAAUUUGCAAGAAUUAUCCUCAUCUUAGGGGAUAAAUUUACGGAGAAAUGGCAGCACAAGUUGGUAAGUAACUUGUCAAUAGCAGGUUGACUGGCGAACAGCUAUAAUGAGUCUGAAAGUUUAACCUACCAGUCUCCUACCUUAUUCACUAAAUUGUGCUUAUGUUUAGAAUUAUUUGCAGUAAUAUUUUCUGUUUGAGGCAGAUCAAAUAUUAAUGCACAGAUUGUUUCCUUG
rnacentral:lncRNA from 1 species